UACAGAGACUGCAAGCGUUAUUCGGAUUCACUGGGCGUAAAGGGCGCGUAGGUGGCUCGGCAAGCGUGCGGUGAAAGUUCGGGGCUCAACCCCGAAUCGGCCGUGCGAACUGCCAAGCUUGAGCACUGUAGAGGCAGAUGGAAUUCCGGGUGUAGCGGUGGAAUGCGUAGAGAUCCGGAAGAACACCGGUGGCGAAGGCGGUCUGCUGGGCAGUUGCUGACACUGAGGCGCGACGAGCGUGGGGAGCAAACAGG
rnacentral:rRNA from 1 species